ACAUAUAAUGUAGGAAUCUGUGGCAACAGACGGUGGGCUACAUUUGCCAAAGCAAAAGAGUGAGAACUAUCUAAUCUUGUACAGCUGUGAAAAUUUUCAAGUCUGAUAGUUGACAAAGUGAAGAGCAGAACUCUUAAUGGGCAAUGGGAGGGGAAGUGGAGUGUAGCCAAUGAAUGCAAAAUUGUCAUGGCUGCAUGUGUUGUCUGGGUAGUAUCCUCAAAAUCAGACCUCGAGCUAUGUUGGUUUAUUUGAUUUAAGCUCAUUUACUAUGAUUUUCAUACUUAAUUUUGCUAUUUGAUUUUUCGUCUGAUUUAUUCAUCAGUUAGUACUUGUGAUUUUAGUGUAGUUUCUUUAGCAGUUCCCUUUUGAAUCUGCUUUUCUAGAAGUAGGUUUUAUUAACUGUAUGCUUCUGUAUUAUUCAUUCAAGUAGGGUUAUCAACUGUAUGCUUUUCCAUGUAUUAUCCAUUCGUAUGCAAGCAUGGAUACAUCUCUCACUAACCUUCUGCUCUCCAAACCCCUCCCUCAAACCAUGAAAUAAGAGAGAAAAAUAGAACAUAUGAAAAGAUUGAUCAGUUCCUUCCGUCUGAAAGGUUGACUUGCAUGAUAUGCUACUGUGGUCAGAAUAGAUAUAUAUAUAUUUCUAACUCUAUAAUAAGUACCGGUCUCCAAGUCCUUUGUCAUCCAGGGUUAUGUUGGUAAUUUCAAUUUGAAACCCCUUGUAAAACCAAUAUAGGAAAGAUUCUGUUCUAAAUUGAUAUUAGUACACGCGUAUUUUCUUAUGAUACCUGUUUCACACUUCUCUUCCUUCAUAUCAAUAGUCAAUACUUUGUCGAGUCUGCUAAAGGCCCCCAUUUUCAUUUCCUGCUCUUACAUUUGUUUCUCCUUUGCUUAUGGUUUUCCUUUUAAGGUUGUUUUUGGAAAUUUCUUACUGUCAUGCUUUUUCUGUUCUCUUUGGUUUUCACUCUUUUUUACCACUAAGUCAGCUCUUGUUGUGCUGAAAUAAAGCCUUGACAAUCCCAAAUGCUACCCUACAAACAUCAAAUGCAAGCCAAACAAGUAAAUGCAACUCUUCACUCUCUGUUUGUGUUACCUUCUUACAUAACCUUCUGUUACAAGGCAUUCACAGUAGAAUCUUUAUGUGAAAUCAACUUGGUACAUACAAAGUUUCUCAAGCUUAUAUACCGUAUGAACAAGAAUUGUUGGCAACUUUUUUUUACUUCAAAGCUUCAGUUGAUUUUGUAAUUUUAAUUUGAACAUUUGAUAGUCAAGAGUAAAUGCAACUGUAAUAAAAAUGAUACCAGAAACUAUUCUUAGAAUGCAUAUCUUUGGUGUUGAGAAUAGGUCACACAACUUGAGUUAAUUAAAAUCUCCAUUUCUUUUUGCUACUUUCAACUUCUCUACAAAAGUAUUGUAACCACCAUUUCCCUGUUAGUGUCUUCAGGUUUUCUACAAAGCUCCUAAACAAGUGUGGUCAGUGUAGAGCUGUGUUUGCUUCUACAUUAUGACAAGGUAAUGCUAGUGUGCGGUGAGCGAGCAUGCUAUGUGUACAAUUAAGCAAAGAGUUGGUGAAGGUUGGAACGGAAUAUCGUAUGUAGUGUUGAAUGCAAUCUGAACCUCUUUUUACUUUCAGCCCUCAGCUUGGUUCUUCUUCCUCUUUCCUUUUUGUUCACAAUUGUUUCUUAUGUUUUUAUUAAUUUCGGUGUUAUUCAUUUUUGCUCUUUUUGGGUUUUUAAAAUACCAACAGAGCUUCAAUAUUGCUAUUGAUCAUUGAAAUGUUGAAUUGUCUGCCUUUUAUUUUCAUUGAGGAGUUAAAAGUUUAAUUGUAUCAGUUGAAAUUGUGUUUUAAGAUGUCAAAUAAAGUUUGAUUUCAGGGAUGGACCAAACAAUUUGAAAGUUCCGGGUAUACAUGAAAAGAACUACAUAGAAGUUGCUUGAUGAGUGCCUCACACUGAGAGGCUGAUUCUAUGUCCUCUAUAGUCAUGUUACAAUCAAUCGUCUGUCCAAUGGUGACGAGCCAAAUUAUCUCUCUGCAAGUAUGGAAAUGAUACGUGGUACACCCGAUUCUUGACGAACUCAAGAGGCAAAGAGAAUGGUUGGGUGGCGAGGCAUCACUUCUUACGAGGUUUGAUGCUAUUUUAUUGGUUGGGUGGCAAGGCAUCACUUCUUACAAGGUUUGGUGCUAUUUUAUUGGUUGGGUGGCGAGACAUCACUUCUUGCAAAGUGCUUUGUGAAAGAAUACUUAACAAAGGAGGACGUAUAACUGAAGAUAAUUAGACCACCAUACACUCAGGAGUUAAUUAGCUACUCACCUGCAAAGGUAAGCAGUGCUAAAUUGCUAUUCAUUUCUUUAUUUCAGGUAUGUUUUCGAUGUGUCCAUAUAGUAUACAUACAUGUGCAUGCGUAGAUUACAGAAAUAAUUGAUUUACUCGUGAUAUAAAUAGUGAUAUCAGUCACCCAUGCAUAGAACGGGCACUGGUGAUGGGAAUGCAUUCGGGCGAUUCAUAGCAAGUUAAUUGAGAACUAUCUUCAGCUAUGCGCCAACAACAUUUUUGACAGAUUAAUCAUGGUAGGGAGCUCUGCUAAAGUCCUUUCAGAUAUUAAUCGCAUUGCAAAUAUUUUCUCCCGAGGUUGAAAUCUAACUUCCAAAUGCAUACGCUUUCUCUUGUUGCUUUCUGUAAGCGUUCUUUGAGCAAAACUUUAUCUUUAGGCUGAAAUCUUGGAUCAGAAUGUACUUGUGUCACCAGUAUGUGCUUUCCUCAUGUUAUUUUCACAGAUAGAGGGUGGGCUAUUUUUGCCAAGGCAAAAGAGUGAGAACAAUCUAAUCUUGUACAACUGUGUGAAUUUUUGAGUCUGAUAAUUGACAAAGUGAUAGAUCACAACUCUUAAUGGGCAACAAGAGGGGAAGUGGAGUGUAGCCCAAGUAUGUAAAAUUGUCAUGGUGCAUGAGUUGUGGGUAGUAUCCUCAAAGUCAAACCUCGACCUAUAUUGGUUUAUCUGAUCAUUUUUUUUUUUUGUUUUUGAUAACCGAGAAAUUCAUUUGUGACCCGCCCUUUGGACCAAUCACAACCUUCUAAACUCGGUGGAUAUUGGUUUAUCUGAUGUAAGCUCAUUUAUUUUGAUUUUUAUACCUAACUAGUGAAUUUGUCCGCACGAUGAGAAAAAAUUAAUUAAAUAUUUAAAAUAUGUAUCUUUUUCUUUUUUUAAUUUGAAUAUCAAAAGCAUUUUAAUGGUCCUUUCUAGUUUUUAAAUUAAAAUAGAUUCAAUUUAAGUUUUAGUUAUUAUUAAAUUGUAGUUUAACCAA